rnacentral:tRNA from 1 species
CGACGUGCGCCAGGCGGGCAUGGUGGUGGCGUUCGAGCUGUCGCGCGAUGGCAACAAGCGCACACCGUUCGACCCGGCCAUGCGGC